UUACAUGGAUAACCGUGACAAAUUACAGCUAAUACAUGCAGUCAGACCCUGUCCAGGGUUGUAAUUAUUAGUAUUAAACCAAUUCCUUCGGGAGUGUGAUGAAUCAUAGUAAUCGAACGAAUCUCAGAGUUCUGAGAUAAGUCAUUCAAGUUUCUGCCCUAUCAGCUUUGGAUGGUAGUGUAUUGGACUACCAUGGCAGUCACGGGUAACGGAGAAUUAGGGUUCGAUUCCGGAGAGGGAGCCUGAGAAACGGCUACCACAUCUAUGGAAGGCAGCAGGCGCGAAAAUUGCCCAAUCCUGAUUCAGGGAGGCAGUGACAAGAAAUAACAACUCUCGACUUUGUUGAGAAGUGUAAUGAGGAUAAUUUACAAACCUUACCGAAAGCAAUUGGAGGGCAAGUCUGGUGCCAGCAGCCGCGGUAAUUCCAGCUCCAAUAGCGUAUAUUAAAGUUGUUGCAGUUAAAAAGCUCGUAGUUGAAGUUCUGAUUGCUCAGGCUCUCAGCCUAAGGCGGGAGUUCUGACAGUCAUCCGCUUGCAAGCAUAUGUUCGGCCUUAAACAGUUGGCUAUGUGAGUAAGCAUUUUACCUUGAGAAAAACAGAGUGUUCCAGGCAGGUUUGUCCGGGAUGCAUUAGCAUGGAAUAAUAGAACAUGACUGAAGUCUAUUUAUUGGUUUAAGGCUUUAGUAAUGAUUAAUAGGAACAGUCGGGGGCAUUCGUACUCAGCAGUCAGAGGUGAAAUUCUAAGAUUUGCUGAAGACGAACUAAUGCGAAAGCAUUUGCCAAGGAUGUUUUCAUUAAUCAAGAACGAAAGUUAGGGGAUCAAAGACGAUCAGAUACCGUCCUAGUCUUAACUAUAAACGAUACCGACUCGGAUUCAGAUGAAUAUUAAAGUUCAUUUGGGACCGUAGGAGAAAUCAAAGUCUUUGGGUUCUGGGGGGAGUAUGGUCGCAAGGCUGAAACUUAAAGGAAUUGACGGUUUUGCACCACCAUGGAGUGGAGCCUGCGGCUUAAUUUGACUCAACACUGGGAAACUCAUCAGGGCAAGAAGAUUUUAGGAUUGACAGAUUGAGAGUUCUUUCUUGAUUGGUCUAGUGGUGGUGCAUGGCCGUUCUUAGUUGGUGGAGUGAUUUGUCUGGUUAAUUCCGUUAACGAACGAGACCUUAACCUGCUAACUAGUACUGCGUUCUUAAUCGUUGUUACUUCUUAGAGGGACUAUGUGAUGUAAUCACAUGGAAGUUUGAGGCAAUAACAGGUCUGUGAUGCCCUUAGAUGUCCUGAGCUGCACGCGCGCUACAAUGACACAUUCAGCAAGUACCUCCUGAUCCGAAAGGAUUUGGGUAAUCUUUUUAGUGUGUGUCGUGAUAGGGAUAGAUCUUUGUAAUUAUGGAUCUUGAACGAGGAAUUCCUAGUAAGCACAAGUCAUCAGCUUGUGCUGAUUACGUCCCUGCAAAAUGUACACACCGCCCGUCGCUUUUACCGAUCGAGUGUUCAGGUGAACCUUCUUGAUAGCGAUUACGCU
rnacentral:rRNA from 1 species